GCGCCGGCGCCUAUAGGCUGCGCGGCGUGUGACGUAUAACGUGCGCGCCGUGGCGGCCGGCCCCAGGAUGCAGCGGGCGGCGCUGACCGGAGUUUGCGGCCCCCUGCGCGGGGGGGCCCGACCGCGGCCGGUCGUUUCCCGGCGGCUGGUUUGUCUCUUUCACACUGGUCUCCGUGCAUUUGCAGCGGAUAAGGAGCUGCUGGUGAAGCUCAGGAAGAAAACCGGUUAUUCCUUUGUGAAUUGUAAGACAGCCUUAGAGAAGUUCAGUGGCGACUCCAAACAGGCUGAAGCCUGGCUGCAUGAGCAGGCCCAAAAGGAGGGAUGGAGCAAAGCUUCCAAACUACAGGGCAGGAAGACAAAAGAAGGCCUUAUCGGGCUGCUGCAGGAGGGGAACGCGGCAGUUAUGGUGGAGGUGAAUUGUGAGACAGACUUUGUGGCCAGAAAUGCCAAAUUUCAACAGUUAGUUCAACAAGCAGCAACUGGGACAAUGUUCCACCAUCAAGGCGCUAAAGACCAGUUAACCACAUAUACCAAGCAUUUCAUGAAGGCAGCUGAGCUUUCUCAACUGCGGACCGGGCCUGCUGGAUGUUUGCUCAGUGACCAGCUGGCUCUCGCUAUAGGCAAACUAGGGGAGAACAUGGCUGUCAAGAGGGCUGCGUGGGUGGCAGUACCAGAGACCUACUACAUUGGCUCUUACGUCCACGGGGCACUGCCAGCGGCUAAUCCCUCCCUCCCUAACAUGGUGCUUGGGAAGUACGGUGCCUUAGUGAUCUGCCAAGCAUCUGAGCAGAGCCAGAAGUCAAACCUUGCUGAUCUAGGCCGGAGGCUGGGUCAGCAUGUAGUGGGAAUGGCCCCUCUGUCGGUGGGAUCUCUGGAGGAUGAACCUGGCGGAGACAUGGAAACCAAAAUGCUCGCCCAACCUUUCUUACUGGACCCCAGCAUUACCCUGGGCCAGUACGUGCAGCCCCAAGGUGUGUCUGUGCUGGACUUUGUGCGGUUUGAGUGUGGAGAGGACACAGAGAUACCAGAAGCAGAGUAGACACAGCAACGUCUCGCACAAGAAAACUCUUCGUAAUCUCACCUCUGCGGCCUGGGGCCGGGCAUUUACAUAUUGGAUCAGUAAGGAAAUAAUUAUGAGACGGGAUCAAUAAUGAAUUAAUCUCAUGUGCUGGACAUUUAAUACAGCAGGUGCAGUUGACCAGGGCCAUGUACGCUGCUCACUAGGAACAAGGCCCCAGCGCUUGGCUAGCCACCUGGAGAAGCUUCCACCCCAAACAGCAGUGAGUAUUUGGCCUGUAUGCAGGACUGCCACCUUCCUCUGUGAUAAAGGGGCCACAAUCCUUGCAUAUAGGAAAUUUUCAGCCUGUAAUAGAUCUCUGGCUAGGUGUGGCCAAGGGGGAGUCUGAUCUGUUACCGGCUGCAGCUGUGACAUGUCACCGCCUUGGGGAGCUUGUAACUUGGUUACAGUACACAGGUGACUCAGUUAAAUGCCUGGCUGCUGAGGUCUAGCAGCAGGCUGGGAGUGGUGGGUCUUGAUUCUGUUUGACUCAAGAUGGGCAGAGGCAAAGCUGAAGAAAUGGGGGUUAAAGAACUUCUUGGCAGGUCCUAGGAGAAAUCCACCUGGGCACUAGGGAAUGAAGUGCCAGCCGCAGGGCGGGUGGGCAUGGCUCACCCACACACUUGUCCACCCAGCUUGCUUGGUAGUAAGCAUAACCUCUAGUUCAUAUGAUACAUCUUUAUUUUUUUUAAGAAGUCCCAGGUGGAGAAGGGGCUACAGGCAGAAGACUGGCUAGAACUGGACUUUCUGCUGGUUGCAAACUAGCAUCGCCUGCGGGAAGCGUUCCUCAGGAGAGGAGACGCCGGCAGGUACAGUUGUCCUGCCAACAGCACUAAAGGUUUGAGAUCGUGGCUGAAGCUGGGAAGCUGUAGUAGCGAGUGAUACGUAGUGUUUUGUUUUCCAGCUUCCGGCGGUUGGCCGGAUGGGUGAAGCGGAAAUGCGGUCCUCGUGCCUGGCUGUGCAGCAGAUCCCCAACAGCCACAAAGGCAAUGACAAUAAAUGUGUAUAGAAAGCUAAAAUAUCAGCUAUUGAGUACACUUGCAAGAGUAAAAACCACCCCCUCACCCCCCCUGUUCCCUUACUGCUUUGGUCCCAGGUGUGGUAGAGCCCACCCCCAGGACAUGGG